rnacentral:rRNA from 1 species
GAUGAACGCUAGCUGCAGGCUUAACACAUGCAAGUCGAGGGGCAGCAUGAACAUAGCUUGCUAUGUUUGAUGGCGACCGGCGCACGGGUGCGUAACACGUAUCCAAUCUACCCAUGGCUCGGGGAUAGCCUUUCGAAAGAAAGAUUAAUACCCGAUGGUCUCGGUUUAAGGCAUCUUAGACUGAGUAAAGAUUUAUCGGCGAUGGAUGGGGAUGCGUCUGAUUAGGUAGAUGGCGGGGUAACGGCCCACCAUGCCUACGAUCAGUAGGGGUUCUGGGAGGAAGGUCCCCCACAUUGGAACUGAGACACGGUCCAAACUCCUACGGGAGGCAGCAGUGAGGAAUAUUGGUCAAUGGACGAGAGUCUGAACCAGCCAAGUAGCGUGAAGGAUGACUGCCCUAUGGGUUGUAAACUUCUUUUGUUUGGGAAUAAAGUGCGGGACGUGUCCCGUUUUGUAUGUACCAUUCGAAUAAGCAUCGGCUAAUUCCGUGCCAGCCGCCGCCGUAAUAC